rnacentral:rRNA from 1 species
AGAGUUUGAUCCUGGCUCAGAGCGAACGCUGGCGGCAGGCUUAACACAUGCAAGUCGAACGGGCGUAGCAAUACGUCAGUGGCAGACGGGUGAGUAACGCGUGGGAACGUACCUUUUGGUUCGGAACAACACAGGGAAACUUGUGCUAAUACCGGAUAAGCCCUUACGGGGAAAGAUUUAUCGCCGAAAGAUCGGCCCGCGUCUGAUUAGCUAGUUGGUGAGGUAAUGGCUCACCAAGGCGACGAUCAGUAGCUGGUCUGAGAGGAUGAUCAGCCACAUUGGGACUGAGACACGGCCCAAACUCCUACGGGAGGCAGCAGUGGGGAAUAUUGGACAAUGGGGGCAACCCUGAUCCAGCCAUGCCGCGUGAGUGAUGAAGGCCCUAGGGUUGUAAAGCUCUUUUGUGCGGGAAGAUAAUGACGGUACCGCAAGAAUAAGCCCCGGCUAACUUCGUGCCAGCAGCCGCGGUAAU